UGAGAAAGUACAUUUAUGACGACAUUAAGAAGACACUGAGAAGAGUGCUUCUUAUUGCACCCGUAGAAACGCUGGUGGGGUUGCUGUGAUGUAAAAGACGUGUGAUUUCCUCUGCAUUGUGACAAAUGUUGUCUGAGAUUUUACAGCGCGGCAUGAAAACUGGAUUUGCUCUGUUUUAUUGGAUUUGUCCCGUUCUUUUACAGGGAUGUUGCAUUAGAAAACACCAAAAGAAAAUGAAAGGUGUUCAGCAGAAUACAACAAAUCAGCACUUCAGAGCCGUGGAGGGGGAACUAUUUAUGAUGCCAUGCAUUAAAUCUUUGGAGCAGCCUGAGAGGACCGUGUGGUCCAGAAGUGGAGAAGAUAAAAAAGAAAAUAAAGACCUGACCUUUGACUGUGGGGUGAAGUUUGUAGCUAGAGUGAACCAUUCUGGAAAGUACACAAGCCUCUCUGCUGGCAGCAGAUCCAUCAUCAUUCUGCAGGUAGUGGAAAGCAUCACUCUGAGAUGUUAUCAGCCCAGCGAAGCCAAGGUAACACUCAGGGUGCGUAGAGGGGGGGUGAUCUACUGUCCCGGCCACCAUUGUAGUAACAACACGGGCACCAUCUGGUUCAAGGGUAACAAAGCUGUGUCUAAGCAGCGCAGAUCCUCCUGCAAUGAGGAGGGCCUGUUACGACUCUGUGAAGUCUACGAAGAGGACACCGGUUUAUAUUUCUGUGACCGCCAGCUGAUGGAAGAAGGAAUCCAGUGGACCUACAGAAGGGCUGUUGACGUUACAGUCAUAUCACAUCUAGAACCAUCCAGGUGUCCUAGGAUUAGAUAUCCUGCUGCUAACAUGACAGAGGAAGUGGAGCUUGGUCAUCCGCAUACUCUGACAUGCGAGGUGUUCUUUGAUUUUGAAGUAGACUUCCUACCAAAGGUGCAGUGGUUUAUGAAUUAUGGCCACAACAUGGAGAAUAUGACUCCUCUGCACAUGGAAGCACCACAACAGAAGCAAGAAACACUGGAAGUAUUUGAAGUCAUCCAGACAGCCGUCAUAUCAGAAGUGAUGCCACAGCACUUGAAGCACACCUUUACCUGCUUCGCCACCAAUUCAGUGGGAAACAGCAGCGUUACAAUCAAGCUUAAGCAAAAAAUUAAAGUUAACUGGCCACCAUUGGUUGGAUAUCCAUUUGCUGCUUUCCUGCUGGUAGUUUGGCUGGGAAUCCUCCUGCGUGUGAAAUGGUUGGAAAUCCAGCUCAUGUACAGAUCCCACUUCCAACAUCGACGACAUGAUGGGGAGAAGGAGUAUGAUGUGUUUUUGUCGUUUGUUUGGAGCUCUUUGUCAGCAGAAGGGACUCAAGGAUUAACCCUUCCAUCCAGAUCAGGAUGUGACUGUAAUGAGGAAGAACAUCUUUCGAAUAAGAAGCUGAUGAGUUGCAAGGAAAGUAAAUCCACCCUGAAACCAUUAGAGGUGUUGCUCCCUCAUGUGCUGGAGGUCCACUGGGGUUAUCGCCUGUGUUUACCGGAGAGGGACCUUCUUCCUGGAGGAGCGUAUACAAAUGAUGUGGUUCUUGGAAUUAAGAGAAGCAGAAUGCUUGUGUGUGUCCUCUCAGCUGACUACCUGGCUGACAGCAGCGCUGUGUUUGUGCUGGAGUCAGGCAUUCAGGCUUUGCUGCAAAAGUCUUCCCUUAAACUUUUAUUAAUACGGACAAGCGAAACCUCAGCAUUCCUGACUCCGUCACACCUGCCGCUGCCGCGACUUGUCCAGACGGCCUUGAAGGUGUUGCCUCGGCUGAAUUACAGCUCAAAAACAUCUUUAAGGGCUGUUGACAACUUCUGGAGAUCUUUGAGAAAAGCCAUGCCCCAAAGCAGAAAGAGACAGGUUGCAACCAUGGAGUGCGGACUUUAAGGAUUGGGAUGAGAUUUUCUGCAACAAAAGACAGCUGAGUCCUUUUUCUAUUCAGCAAGGACUGCAUUCACUGUUUAUACAGGGCUACUGAUGGGAGGAUGUGUGGAGUCACUUACCAUCAAAUCCUAAGUGAAACCUCCUUCCCUCCUUAAGCCCGGAGGCUUAUGAAAAGGUCUUCCAACAGGAUAAGAACUAAAACAUACAGCAAGGGCAACCAAGGAAUGGCUGAAGAAGCAUCUCAAGGUCAUGGAGUGGCCCAUCGUUUCUCUUGACUUGAAUCCUAUAGAACAGCGGUCCCCAACCUUUGUUGCACCACGGCCCGGUUUGAUGUCUUGCAAAAUUCUCACAGACCGGUAUGUUAUAUGUGGCAGACACACGCUGCAAUAAAGGCAGAGACAUGUGAUAAGACGUACUCUGCACUUUCAUUUUGACAUGCUAAACAUUGUACAUCGCACAAGUGUCACCAUCCUGUCCCCUUCCCACACUCAUGGUGCUAAAAAGAAGUAAACACAACAGGAAGAAAUAACUAAGGGAGAAACAACAUAACUGCCAGAUGAAAGGACCCGUAGGCAAAAAGAAAGACCCAUGCUCAACCCGAUUUUGACCAAAGCAGGCAAAGGGGAUUGAUUUGAUUCCCUGUGAUGCCGGCUCCGACAGUAACCCCUCCAGCCUGUGGAAUUCCGACAGCAGACCAAACGUGCACGUGACCUCCACUACAAAACAACAAAAUAUGACUUGCAUGAAAACUGUGGUAUUUUCUAAAC